CACUCCCUUGGAUAAACACAAUUUGCAACUCACUUUAUAGAUGUGCUAGAGCCUUUGCAGCCUUUACAGUCUGUCACAUAAAUCCAUAUUCAAGUGUCAAUGUGUGAAGGGGCUGCUUUAGAGGUCCUGUGGGUGAAAACAUGAAUGGAAUUUCUAGAGGAAAUGCUCUCAAAGAUGAGUAAUUUGUCGGCUUUGCUAGUUACUUUAGAAAGAAGAUACUGAUGGUAUGAGUAUUCAACAGUGUUUUUUCUUUACACACCUGUAGCUCACAACUACCAGAGUUGGCAGUUUUGAUGGGAGAACUUCCUGAAAAUAAACUAUUGAAAGUAAGCCUCAACUCCAGGUAAGAAAAUGUCAGCUUCCCUGUACCCCCCAAAAGCUCGUUAACUCUAAUGGCAAUUUCAGGUAUACAAGGAUAGCAGCCACAACUAGCUGUAGGAAGAGGGAUUAAUACAGCUGCACUAGCACAAACAACAUCAAAGACUUUGUCAAAGUUGCUCCAAAACAACUCUGGGAUCACUGAAAUGCAAAAUUUGGCCUCCAACUUCACAUCGCCAGCUACUCCCUCACAUGUCUCACCCAGAACAGCUAUCUCCUUCCUCCUGCAUCUGCAAGAGACCCGGUUGCCUCUCUCACCCCGACCACUGCAAAGACAGCCUGCGCCUCAUGGAAGAAGCACACCACAGCAGUGAGGUGCCAUCAGGAGCUCCCAUCCCCACUGAAACAGGUGCAGCUUCUGCUCUGCUCCAACUGGGAAAGAGAGCAGCCAGGCUCACAGGGGGGUAACUGACCAAGUCUACCAUGCACCACUGCAGAAAGUCAAAUGAAGACGAAGGGGAG